rnacentral:rRNA from 1 species
CAGUCGCCGCGGUAAUACGAAGGGUGCAAGCGUUAAUCGGAAUUACUGGGCGUAAAGGGCGCGUAGGUGGUUAUUUAAGUGAGAUGUGAAAUCCCCGGGCUUAACCUGGGAACUGCAUCUUAUACUGGGUAACUGGAGUGCAGUAGAGGGUAGUGGAAUUUCCGGUGUAGCGGUGAAAUGCGUAGAUAUCGGAAGGAACACCAGUGGCGAAGGCGGCUACCUGGACUGAGACUGACACUGAGGCGCGAGAGCGUGGGGAGCAAACAGGAUUAGAUACCCCCGUAGUCCCUGUCUCUUAUAC